CAAAUACUUUGUAAGACUCUCUACAGAGCCAUUCCCCAAGUUACCUCUCUAUGCUAGGCUGCAGCUGCCCACUGAUGCCAAACCAUGAGUGGGGUUUAGUGGAUGGGAGAAGGAGGUGAAGUGAAAGAAAUGUUUGCUUGUGAGACCACUAGCAUUCAUGGAAUGCUGCUGACAGAUGGCUGCCAAGGUUAUAAGGGUAUUUAUCACUUAAGGAGAUAAAUCAUUGCUGUGUCCUCCCAAAAUGAUGUUGCAUCUUUGAACUUCUUCCUGAAUAAAGCUCUUCUUGUUUUCUGCUAGGCUCUGCAUUGGCGAUUGAAGGAACAGUGCCUGACUAAUGACGCUGGACAGCAAGGAAAUACAAUUGUCCUGGAAGAGCUGGCAGGCUGUUGAAAUGUCAGAUGGUAAAAACAACCAAGAGUUCCAGAUGGGGCAGUCGGAAGAGAAACAUGCUGAAGAUGGUAAUGGAAAACUUCUGGAUUCUCUCAGCUGGGAGUCCCAUGUCCUCACCUGUGACUUCCCAGCCCAAUCACUGCUCAAGCCUUAUGCAAAGCAGUAUGCCUUGAGGAAGUUCUUCAUAACCAGGGUUUGCGGAUGUCCCCUUGGAGCCUUUAGAUGUGGAUCAGGAUGCUGCGUUGGUGGGCGCUACACAGACAGCUACUGA
ensembl:lncRNA